UACGGGGGGGGCUAGCGUUGCUCGGAAUCACUGGGCGUAAAGCGCACGUAGGCGGCUUUCUAAGUCAGGGGUGAAAUCCUGGAGCUCAACUCCAGAACUGCCUUUGAUACUGGAAAGCUUGAGUUCGGGAGAGGUGAGUGGAACUGCGAGUGUAGAGGUGAAAUUCGUAGAUAUUCGCAAGAACACCAGUGGCGAAGGCGGCUCACUGGCCCGAUACUGACGCUGAGGUGCGAAAGCGUGGGGAGCAAACAGG
rnacentral:rRNA from 1 species